AGAAUCAACGCUGGCGGCGUGCCUAACACAUGCAAGUCGAACGCGAAAGGGGCUUCGGCCCUGAGUAGAGUGGCGAACGGGUGAGUAACACGUGGGUGAUCUACCUUCGAGUGGGGGAUAACGUCCCGAAAGGGACGCUAAUACCGCAUGACGUUCUGGGUUUGAAGACCUGGAAACCAAAGCUGGGGACCGCAAGGCCUGGCGCUAGAAGAGGAGCCCGCGCCUGAUUAGCUAGUUGGUGGGGUAACGGCUCACCAAGGCAACGAUCAGCA
rnacentral:rRNA from 1 species